AUUUUUUCCUCAACAGUUGUCUUUCACGAGUGGUAAUUUUUCCUCCCUGCUAUAGCAGAAAUCCAAGAAAGGCAAAAUCGAAAAAGAAAAAUGGAACAAUAAAAAACCAAGUAGGUACAAAAAAUAAAGUAAACAAAUAUCUAAAAGUUAGCUAAUCAUCAAUUAUUCACCAUCUUAGACCAUAUUAAAAGUUUUUCUUGGAACUAAAAAUAAAAAAUCAAUGAUAAAACUGAAAUGAAACAAAUAGAUUAAUCACGGAAAGAAAGGGGAAGAAAAAUUACCAUAUCUGUAUUCUACAAAUUCGCAUAGAUAGUGGAGACGAAAUAUUGAACUCCCCUUUCCUCGCUGUUUCAAAAAAAGACACGAAAGAGGAGGGAAAAAUUGGUUAUUUUUAGCCAAGGAAAUAGCAGAAAAAUGGCAGAAAAAUAGAAAAAAUAGCUAUAAUCACUCGAGGAAGGGAGGUAGGGAGAUGAAGAAGAACAAGAGGGAGAAAUGGGAGAAAUCGAUACAGGGUGGGAAGGAAGAUUACCAGCCCCUUUUCCAUGUCAAGAAAUGACGUUAUUAAUUAGUUAUUUCUCCUCUGGACUCACGUUUAAUUAACAAAUCAUCCAGCAACUCUAUCAGAAGAAAAAAAUCUGGCCCCUCCAAUUAAGAUUAUAACCUCUUUCAAGUACAAUCAAAUGGCAGAAAUUCAGAGGAGACCUAUAAGGUCUCAUGAAGAAGGAAUUUUGUCCAAGGGAUAAUAGCAAUAGG
rnacentral:lncRNA from 1 species